rnacentral:rRNA from 1 species
GUCUACGACCAAUAUCACGUGAAAACAACGGUUCUCGUCGCGAUCACCGAAGUUAGCACGUCGUAGCCCGGUUAGUACUUGGAUGGGUGACCGCCUGGGAAAUACCGGUUUGUAGACA